GUUGAGACAGGAGCCUAUCAGACAACACAGCAGAGGAGAAUCAGACAGAAAGAGACUGGAAAUGACAGACAAGGACACACGAAAAUUAGAGCUACAAAGAGGUAUAGCCUACCAUUUCUGACUUAUGCUAAGUGUUCUGACAACAAAAGGCAACCUUGAGAAAAACAGUAAUUUAUGGUUCUACAUGUCUACCACAACUGGGGCCAUCAGCCUUUCCACAUAUAACAAAACCGGGUGAAAUCAUACAAAAGGAAUAUGGAGGAACAUGGCGUAGAAGUGGCAUGACUGGACUAAAAGGACAAUCUACUUUAAUUUUAUGAAAAAUUGUCAUGACAGCAUCAUUGAGAGAAACACAAGCACAGAUACUCUACAUAAUUUUAAACCACUAUGUAAAACAGAAUGAAGUCUAUGAACUUUUUAUUGUUUGACAAUUACAAUUUUGGAAAAUCUGUUUCUUAACAGUUUAUAAAAGUA